CCUACGGGUGGCAGCAGUGGGGAAUAUUGGGCAAUGGGCGCAAGCCUGACCCAGCACCGCCGCGUGAAGGAAGAAGGCUCUCGGGUUGUAAACUUCUUUUAUCAGGGACGAAGCAAGUGACGGUACCUGAUGAAUAAGCCACGGCUAACUAAGUGCCAGCAUCCGCGGUAAUACGUAGGUGGGAAGCGUUAUCCGGAUUUACUGGGUGUAAAGGGCGUGUAGGCGGGAAAGCAAGUCAGCUGUGAAAACCAUGGGCUCAACCUGUGGCUUGCAUUUGAAACUGUUUUUCUUGAGUACUGGAGAGGCAGACGGAAUUCCUAGUGGAGCGGUGAAAUGCGUAGAUAUUAGGAGGAACACCAGUGGCGAAGGCGGUCUGCUGGACAGCAACUGACGCUGAGGCGCGAAAGCGUGGGGAGCAAACAGGAUUAGAUACCCUUGUAGUC
rnacentral:rRNA from 1 species